UUCCCUAGCAAUGGGCAAAGAGACACCUUGUUGAUGAUGUGGUUCUUGUAUCAGUCAGGGGCAGAGCAGACAGCAGUCCUUUGUCUAUCCUAACUUGAUUCCUGACUUUGUGGCCAAAGCUUUCUUAUGGCUAUGACUCAUAA